AAAUUUUCGGGACCAGAACCAAGUAAUGCCUUUGGACAAAAUGGCUUGCAUUGCGAAGUGGAAUGUAUUCAUCAGUAAAGGAGCAGGGAAUCUCCCUAGAUGAUCCCCUAGAAGAGUUUUAUUAUACAAUGUCAAGAAUGUACUGAAUAUGUACCAUACAAGGACUAAGAACAGUGUCUUCAGCACAUCAGCUACGGAAACAACAUUCUUUGACUUUGUUUGUGAUGCACCGUGGUGGUCCAGAUGAGUAGAUCCUUCCCCGUGCACAUUUGAAUAUGUUUGAUUACUUCUAGAACCGUUCUCCACAUCAAACGGAACAUAUCUAUCUUUUCCAUUCGUAGUAGAUGCAACAGCCAAAUCACCACCACCCUUCAUCCUCGACUUAAAGUUGUAAUUUUGUGUAUCUACGUCUACAGAUCCAUUUCCUAUACCGGUUUGAUUCACGAGAGGCAGUUCAAAGUCAAAGUCGCCACUGAGUGUAUCAGCAUUCCCUAGCUCAGCUGAAUGGAUGGUGUCAUUAUCAUCACACCAGCCUGAGAAAGAAGGCGCCCUACGAAAGUUGUCACUUGCACUCUGUUCAACCUUCUCUAUAGUCAAUUCACUCUCUAACAUCUCCUUUUUCCUCCACAAUCAAAACCAUCUUUCUCCCAUUGACAACCAAGCUUAUACGCCUAGUCGUCUAUAUAGCACUAUAUUUCCAAUUAUCUUGACCAGACUAAUUGUAGUGAACCCUUUAGAACUUCAAAUUGACACUAUUAGUUCUUAUAAACACACCUACUAAGCAAUUGAAACCAGCACUGAGCUCUCGAAUCCAAUUAACUAGAGACCAAUAUAAGUUCAACAAUCUGAGCUUGUUUGAGUUGAUAGAUUCAAAUGGUGUAGAAGAGAACAAAGCAUAGAAGAUCUGAUCUACCAAUUCCUUCGAGUUUAAAGAAGAAAAAAGGUUAUUGUCG
rnacentral:misc_RNA from 1 species